ensembl:lncRNA
AGGCACAGGGAGUGAUGGUCCAUGAACUACAUAGUGAGAUGAUAAGACUGGUCAAGAGAUACUUGGGCUACAUUGUUCCAGCUAGAUUGAUUGUCGAUACUCCUGUCAGUGAGGUUUCCUAAAAACAAGAGCACCAGCUGACUAAUGAGGAUCUCUUAAUUGAAGCAGAGGCCAGAGCAUUCCUCAAAAAUGAAGAAUUCUCCUCCGUGUCAGUGACAAGGAUAUAUUAGACAGUGAGAGUUUUCUAUGCAGAAGUCAUUGGGAAGAUGCUGAAGGUCUUUCCCUUACAAUCUCAGCUGCUUAAAGACUUGAAGGUACUGGACCCAGCCUCUCACCUGAAUGUCUCUCCUGAACAGGUAAAAAGUAUCAUUUUAUUGUAUGAAUAUCCAUUCAGUACUUUCAAGUAACCUAACUGAGUAUUUGUUGGAAAUGUGUUCAUACUACAUAGUGGCAAGGCUAGGUUGCAUGUUUCCCCAACUGAAGUUUGAGGAUCCAGAUAAGUCGAGAGGGGAGUUCACAGACUACCAGGUCACAGACAGCAACAAGUUGUCCAAAGAACAGAGAGUUGACAGAUUCUGGGGCCUUGUAGGGAGGAAUGAGACCAGGUUCAGUGAGCUGGCUAGACUGAUGAAAGCAUUGCUCAUCAUCCCCCAUAGCAAUGCCUCUUCAGAGAGGAGCUUCAGCAUGGUGAAAAAAAUAGUUAGAGAAAAUCUCAUGAGCAUGAAUAACAGCAUUCUUUGCUCUCUCCUAUCCUGCAAAAUAAACCACACCAGUUUGGCCUCAAAGUAAACACCGUCCAAGAGGUCACUUAGAGCAGCUAAAUCUGCCACAUACAACUACAACACUUCAAAAGAAAAGUGAGCACAUAUUCAUGUCUACAAAACAUACUGUCAUACUGACCAAAGAGAGACAGUUAUUGAUGCUCAAGGAAUGAUGAAACAUUUCAAAAUGUGUUAAAUGUGUUUGUACUAGUGUUAAAAACUGCAGUGCAGUGGUU